rnacentral:misc_RNA from 1 species
GAUGAAGAACGCAGUGAAAUGCGAUAAGUAAUGUGAAUUGCAGAAUUCAGUGAAUCAUCGAAUCUUUGAACGCACAUUGCGCCCUCUGGUAUUCCGGGGGGCAUGCCUGUUCGAGCGUCAUUAUAACCACUCAAGCUCUCGCUUGGUAUUGGGGUUCGCGGUUUCGCGGCCCCUAAAAUCAGUGGCGGUGCCUGUCGGCUCUACGCGUAGUAAUACUCCUCGCGAUUGAGUCCGGUAGGUCUACUUGCCAGCAACCCCUAAUUUUUUUUAAGGUUGACCUCGGAUCAGGUAGGGAUACCCGCUGAACUUAAGCAUAUCAAUAAGCGGAGGA